rnacentral:rRNA from 1 species
CCUACGGGAGGCAGCAGUGGGGAAUAUUGCACAAUGGGGGAAACCCUGAUGCAGCGACGCCGCGUGAAGGAAGAAGUAUUUCGGUAUGUAAACUACUAUCAGCAGGGAAGAAAAUGACGGUACCUGACUAAGAAGCCCCGGCUAACUACGUGCCAGCAGCCGCGGGAAUACGGAGGGGGCAAGCGUUAUCCGGAUGUACUGGGUGUAAAGGGAGCGUAGGCGGCGAUGCAAGUCAGAAGUGAAAGCCCGGGGCUCAACUCCGGGACUGCUUUUGAUACUGUGUUGCUAGAUUGCAGGAGAGGUAAGUGGAAUUCCUGGUGUAGCGGUGAAAUGCGUAGAUAUUAGGAGGAACACCAGUGGCGAAGGCGGCUUACUGGACUGUAAAUGACGCUGAGGCGCGAAAGCGUGGGGAGCAAACAGGAUUAGAUACCCCAGUAGUC